CACCUUGGUUGAGAAUGGUGGCACAUAAUAUAGUAUAAAAUUAUUGUAGGAUGAAAAUACUCUUCGUAUUAGCCGAUCUCCUUUCCAUUUCCUUAUUCAUCCUUUUUUUGUCCUCCUAACUUUCAAAAUUUUCACUAUUGCAUCCGAAGAAGAAAUCCCUAUUAGAUCACCUAAUCCCAAAUCCAUCUUGCAGGACCAAAAGGAUGGAUCAUUAACCCAUGCAAUAUUCAUGAGGGAGAAGAUCCCCUCUCCAUUUUUCUUCAAAAAGGUGGAGGAGCACAUGGAAACCGGGUUCCUCUAUCCAUUGUUCUUCUUCAAUGCAUUUGUUAGAUCUAACAAGGUUGCAACAAUGGCAGUAAGGAACAACCACCAACUAUUGAUGGGCUUUUUGAUGAUCCUAGCCGAUUUCUAGGCCCCUCUCACCAACAGCAGCUAAAGUGGCUUGGACUAAUUUAUUGUGGAUUUGCAUCCACUCCUUCCCUCUCCCAUGCAACCUAAGAUACUAUAUUCCAAUCUAGAUCUCAAACUCCUCCCACCUUUAGAAGUUAUGUAUCUGGAUGUCCACUAGCGACAGCUCAUGAUCUUUUCCUUUGCUUUUAGUUUUCUUAGAUAGCAAAUGCAAGAG
rnacentral:lncRNA from 1 species